rnacentral:tRNA from 1 species
GGAGGAGUGGCCGAGAGGUCGAAGGCGGCGGUCUUGAAAACCGUUGAACCGGCAACGGUUCCAUGGGUUCGAAUCCCAUCUCCUCCG